rnacentral:sRNA from 1 species
UGAGCGACUAUCCCGCUCCCUCAUCAAAA